rnacentral:tRNA from 1 species
AGGGGCGUAGUUCCAACGGUAGAACGACGGAUUCCAAAUCCGUAUGUUGGGAGUUCGAAUCUCUCCGCCCCUGCCA